rnacentral:ncRNA from 1 species
AGCCUAAAUAUGGUGAAAGGGAUGAAAAGGGAAUAUGGUGCGGCGUACCCAUUAGGGACCAAAUCCAUAACUGCCCCCGCAACUGUAAGCGGUUAGCGAACCUGAAAAAACCACUGGUCAAUUUGGCCGGGAAGGAACAGGGAAGCCGAGAUCCGCGAGUCAGGAGACCUGCCAUCUUUGUA